CCUACGGGUGGCAGCAGUGAGGAAUAUUGGUCAAUGGACGAGAGUCUGAACCAGCCAAGUAGCGUGAAUGAUGACUGCCCUAUGGGUUGUAAACUUCUUUUAUAUGGGAAUAAAAUGUUCCACGUGUGGGAUUUUGUAUGUACCAUAUGAAUAAGGAUCGGCUAACUCCGUGCCAGCAGCCGCGGUAAUACGGAGGAUCCGAGCGUUAUCCGGAUUUAUUGGGUUUAAAGGGAGCGUAGGUGGUUUGUUAAGUCAGUUGUGAAAUUUUGGGGCUCAACCGUAAAAUUGCAGUUGAAACUGGCAGUCUUGAGUCCAGUAGAGGUGGGCGGAAUUCGAGGUGUAGCGGUGAAAUGCGUAGAGAUCACGAAGAACACCGAUGGCGAAGGCAGCUCACUGGACUGCAACUGACGCUGAGGUUCGAAAGUGUGGGUAUCAAACAGGAUUAGAUACCCGAGUAGUC
rnacentral:rRNA from 1 species